UACGGAGGGUGCAAGCGUUGUCCGGAAUCACUGGGCGUAAAGGGCGCGUAGGCGGCUCAUGAAGGCUGUGGUGAAAGUCCGGGGCUCAACCUCGGAUCGGCCGUGGCGACUCGUGGGCUGGAGCACUGUAGAGGCGGGUGGAAUUCCGGGUGUAGCGGUGGAAUGCGCAGAUAUCAGGAGGAACACCAAUGGCGAAGGCGGGUCUCUGGGUAGUAACUGACGCUGAGGAACGAAAGCGUGGGUAGCGAACAGG
rnacentral:rRNA from 1 species